UGUGCUGAAAUUUGCAGCCGCGAUG
rnacentral:misc_RNA from 1 species